GCGCAACGCAAAAUGCUGGCAUGCGCGGCUUAGUCCACGAGCUCUGUGGUGCUGCCUGCUCUGGGGUAGUCGAUGUUCGUGUUCUCGGUUGAACCUGUACAGGCCCUCAGCUGAGGUGGUCUGUCUGUGAGGUAGCUUGCAUCCAUCAGGCUGCAGGAAUGCCGAGCCAUCAGCGCACAACUGUGCAGACGCCCUGCUUUACGCUGGGUUAAGAACGCGGAUUACCCUAUAGAAGGCUACGGUGUAAGCGCACUGCCUGACGAAAAUCGUGAGGACAGUGUCGUCGACAAGCUCUACAGGCACAGCUUGCCUGAAGAGGAAAGAUGGAACCUUCGGUGAAGCUUUCACUCGGCACCAACAAGUCGCGCUUGAUCAGAAAUCCUGCCACACGACAACGGAAAAACAGAGGGGUUCGAAGGACAUCGUACACGUCUGUAAUGAACGGGCACGACAGCAAAGCAUGUUGGUCAAUACAUUCCAUCAGCGACGCUGCGGAUUCGAUUAGCUUGCGCAGAAGCGAUCGCUGCAGAAACCAGCAGGACCAGCCGAGCGCCACAGGGUGGGUCGUGUCUCGUUCUGACGCACGUUUAAAACGAAGCACCAAAAUGGUCGGACAAGAAAUCCGGGAAUCAACGCAUUCUUCGUUGUUCACUGAAGGCGCUGCUCAGGACAAGGCCAGCGUGAGCUCAAAGGAAGUCAGUAAGAUCGGUAUCAACCAGACGCCUAAUGGUGAGGACACGUCAGGUGCGAUUGCUCCGCCAACGAGCUGUUCACUGCCCCGUGACAAUGCAAGACGCAUUAACGUGUUCCGUUCUAUGCCAAUCACGAGCGAACCGUCUCACACCGAAACGAUGUGCACUGACGACACCGAGGGACGACAUGAUGCGUCUGAAGGCCGUAAACGAACGCAGCGAGAGACCAACUGCUACGACAGGAUAUGGCGAGAAAUACAGAAAGGAAAAAAGAAAGCGCAUCGAAAAACUGAAGAAAUGUUUAUAGGAAACCUUAAGCGACUUUCGAAUGCACUUCCCAAUCGGGGAGCGGAAUGGCGAGGCCUCGAUUCAGAAAGGCAACGUCUCUUGUCGCGCGACCUGCUUCAAAUGCGACAAAGACGUGAAGUACAACUGUACCUGAAGUACAAAGUACGCAGAGAGGGCAUUCGAAGCCGGUGCACAAAGAUGAUGAACGCGGUUAGGAAAGCGCGGGAAAAAGCCCUUGGCUUCGACGCCACCCUAUUGACUUUAAAGCAACUCAACAUGUGAGCAGCUCUGAACGGGAGAGCCACAUGGAACGCGUAUAGUUCGCUGACAAAUUCUGCCGCCUAGAUAGCCACUUGCAGUAAAAAGCACAGUCAUAUUGUAUUGA